rnacentral:rRNA from 1 species
UACGGAGGGUGCAAGCGUUAUCCGGAAUCACUGGGUUUAAAGGGUGCGUAGGCGGGCAGGUAAGUCAGUGGUGAAAUCCCCAAGCUUAACUUGGGAACUGCCGUUGAUACUAGCUGUCUUGAAUACUAUGGAGGUAAGCGGAAUAUGUCAUGUAGCGGUGAAAUGCGUAGAUAUGACAUAGAACACCAAUUGCGAAGGCAGCUUGCUACACAGUUAUUGACGCUGAGGCACGAAAGCGUGGGGAGCAAACAGG